GACGAACGCUGGCGGCGUGCUUAACACAUGCAAGUCGAACGGAAAGGCCCUGCUUUUGUGGGGUGCUCGAGUGGCGAACGGGUGAGUAACACGUGAGUAACCUGCCCUUGACUUUGGGAUAACUUCAGGAAACUGGGGCUAAUACCGGAUAGGAGCUCCUGCUGCAUGGUGGGGGUUGGAAAGUUUCGGCGGUUGGGGAUGGACUCGCGGCUUAUCAGCUUGUUGGUGGGGUAGUGGCUUACCAAGGCUUUGACGGGUAGCCGGCCUGAGAGGGUGACCGGCCACAUUGGGAAUGAGAUACGGCCCAGACUCCUACGGGAGGCAGGAGUGGGGAAUAUUGCACAAUGGGCGGAAGCCUGAUGCAGCAACGCCGCGUGCGGGAUGACGGCCUUCGGGUUGUAAACCGCUUUCGCCUGUGACGAAGCGUGAGUGACGGUAAUGGGUAAAGAAGCACCGGCUAACUACGU
rnacentral:rRNA from 1 species